rnacentral:ncRNA from 1 species
AUGGCGCGACGACAUGCGCGCACAACGAUUCCGCUUCCGACGCACGAUAUGUCCAUGGCACGCAGGAAGCGAAUCCGGGAUUCUCAACCCCCAACGGGAGACCCGGAGCCCUGAGCGGACAUCCAUGCGGCUGUGCACCGGCCCCGUGUGGAUGUCCGCUGAUUUUUUU